AUCUACUGCCAUACCACCCUGAACGUGCCGGAUCUCAUCUGAUCUCAGAAGCUAAGCAGGGUCGGGCCUGGCUAGUACUUGGAUGGGAGACCACCUGGGAAUACUGGGUGCUGUAGGCA
ensembl:rRNA 5S_rRNA 5S ribosomal RNA